rnacentral:tRNA from 1 species
GGAGAGGUGCGAGAGUGGUUGAAUCGGGCGGUCUCGAAAACCGUUGAACCCGAAAGGGUUCCGUGGGUUCGAAUCCCACCCUCUCCG